rnacentral:lncRNA from 1 species
UUUUGACUCUGAGUCACUUGAAAGGGGCAUGUUUAUCAGCCAGAGGUAAAAAUGGAUGAGAAAAAAUGUGCCAAAACAGGGUCUGGUAUGCAAGCCCGUAGAAAAAAGCUCAUGGGGUCAUCAGAAGGGAUGGGUUCAACUCCAGAUUCUGCCACGUGAAGCAUCAUCUGCUGGAUUGACUUUGGAGCUCACAACACCAUUGUAUUAGAUAAACCUCUGAUGACAGACUGUUUACCACAAAUGUCUGGAACCUUCUUGUUUCGUUGGCUCAAUGUUACAACUGAGAGUGAGACCAGAGUGAGGGCGAGGGAAGUGACUCAAGUUUUUAUUUGGUGGGACCAUUUUACCUGCUUAUAACAUUGGGGAGAACAUGACACACGGCUUCUGCAACUGGAUCCUGGACUUCCUGACAGGCCGACCUCAGGUGGUGAGAGAAUGCAACAACAGCUUCGCGACGAUGUCCCUCAGCACGUGGGGCCCCCAGGGGUGUGUGCUCAGCCCCCUCCUGUACUCCCUUUUUACGCACGACUAUGCACCCAUCGACAAGUUUGCUGACGACACGACGGUGGUAGGCCUGAACACCAAUGGCGAUGUAUAUCCUAUGUAUAUCCUACUACCAGUAACUUUUUAUGUAUAAAC